GGCCCUUUAGCUCAGUGGUUAGAGCAGACGACUCAUAAUCGUCCGGUCGCUGGUUCAAGUCCAGCAAGGGCC
rnacentral:tRNA from 1 species